rnacentral:rRNA from 1 species
AUUGAACGCUGGCGGCAUGCCUUACACAUGCAAGUCGAACGGUAACAGGUCUUCGGAUGCUGACGAGUGGCGAACGGGUGAGUAAUACAUCGGAACGUGCCCGAUCGUGGGGGAUAACGGAGCGAAAGCUUUGCUAAUACCGCAUACGAUCUACGGAUGAAAGCAGGGGACCGCAAGGCCUUGCGCGGACGGAGCGGCCGAUGGCAGAUUAGGUAGUUGGUGGGAUAAAAGCUUACCAAGCCGACGAUCUGUAGCUGGUCUGAGAGGACGACCAGCCACACUGGGACUGAGACACGGCCCAGACUCCUACGGGAGGCAGCAGUGGGGAAUUUUGGACAAUGGGCGCAAGCCUGAUCCAGCCAUGCCGCGUGCAGGAUGAAGGCCUUCGGUUGUAAACUGCUUUGUACGGAACGAAAGACUCUUCUAAUAAGAGGGUCCAUGACGGUACCGUAAGAAUAAGCACCGGCUAACUACGUGCCAGCAGCCGCGGUAAACU